UAACAUUAAUCCUCAUGACUUGUAGAUUGUGGCUCAAGCUUAUUUGCUUUAAACUCAAGUUCACCAUCCAAAACGUCGAUCACAACAUUUUCGUCCGACUUAAUUUCUCCCUGAAUAAUUUUCAUCGCCAUUGUGUUCAAAAUACGCUUCUGUAUUAAGCGAUUCAAAGGUCUAGCGCCAUACGCUGGAGAAUAACCUUUUUCAGCAAGCCAUUUGCGAGCUGCUUCUGUAACUGUAAGGAUUAUACGACGGUCAUUAAGACGUUGUUGAACUUCGUCCAAACGAACGUUUACUAUGUCUUCAAGGUUCUUUUCCGAUAAUUUGUUGAAAACAAUUUGGUCGUCAAUUCUGUUCAAAAAUUCAGGAGGAUAAUAUUUCUGUACAACAUCCAUAACGGCAUCCCUGGAUUUGGGGGUGACAGUAGUACUAGGAUCAGCAACCAAGAUAUCGCUUCCCAAAUUCGAGGUCAUAACAAUCAAGGUAGAUCGGAAAUCCACUUUACGUCCUUGUGAAUCGGUCAAAAAUCCUUCGUCUAGUACUUGUAGAAGAAGGUUGGUAAUAUCAUGAUGCGCUUUUUCUAAUUCGUCAAACAAAAGUACGGCGUAUGGUUUGCGACGCACAGCUUCAGUCAACUCUCCAGAUUCUUCAUAACCAAUAUAUCCAGGAGGACUACCAAUCAGACGCGCAAUUGUAUGUUUCUCCUGAAACUCGGACAUAUCAAAACGAAUCAUAGCCUUGUCAGUGUCAAAUAGAAACUCUGCUAAAGCUUUGGUAAGUGCAGUCUUACCUACACCGGUAGGUCCAAGGAAAAGGAAUGAUGCCAAAGGUCUGUUGGUGUUUUGGAGACCUGCGCGUGAUAAACGAACUGCAUCGGCUAUCGCUUUCAAAGCUUCGUCCUGACCAAUAAUCUUCUUGCCAAUAGUUUGUUCCAUAUUAAGGAGCUUGUCUCUUUCACCACGCAUUAAAUUAGUGGUAGGAAUUCCUGUCGCCCUUGAUACAACAACCGCAAUAUCAUCGCUAGUAACCGAAUCAUGUACCAUGGAUGGCUUCUUUUCUUCAAGCGUUUUCUCUUCCUUUGGAACACUACGCUCCAAUUCAGGAAUAAUCGCAUAUUGGAGCUCAGAAGCACGGGCAUAAUUACCUUCACGUU